UACGUAGGGGGUCCAGCAGUGUUCGGAUCCGAAUUGUGGCGUAAAGAGCUCGUAGGCGGUCUGUCGCGUCGGCUGUGAAAAACACGGGGCUCAACUCCGUGCCUGCAGUCGAUACGGGCAGACUAGAGUUCGGUAGGGGAGACUGGAAUUCCUGGUGUAGCGGUGAAAUGCGUAGAUAUCUGGAGGAACACCGGUGGCGAAGGCGGCAUCCUGGACCGGUAUUGACGCUGAGGCGCGAAAGCUAGGGGAGCAAACGGG
rnacentral:rRNA from 1 species